GGGCGUAUCCUCAGUAACUUCCUCAGGAGCGUAUAUGGUAAACCUUCUGAAUCCUUGAUGUUCACGGAGACAAACUGGAAAGUGAACGAGAGGCUCUUGUAACAACGCUGAUACAGUCGAUACAAAACUGAGACGAUGCAGAGCACAGCCGCGUUAAUCACUCUGCUGCGGGAAGACAUAUGUAAUUCAAAUUCCGUUCCAAAACUUCAGUCACAGUUUGACUUUGUAUAGAAUCUUCAAUUGAAAAUAAUUAUCCCUCGAAUUUCAAAGACAUUGUGGUUUGACUCCAAGAGUGGCAGGCUGAAAAUAAGAAAAUUUUCUCAGCCUUUACUCUGUGUCCAUCUGGAAAGAAAUAUGAAUAUCUGAUGUUAAAAGACUGAGCUGGGGCUGGCCCCGUGACCCAGUGGUUAAGUUCACGUGCUCCACUUCGGCGGCCCAGGGUUUCGCUGGUUCAGAUCCUGGGCGCGGACAUGGCAAAGCUCAUCAGGUUGUGCUGAGGUGGCGUCCCACAUAUCAGAGCCAGAGGCACUCAACUGGAACAUACAAGUUUACAGAUUUGCUUCAUUUGUCCUCAUCCAUAAACAAGGCAUCUCCUUGACUUCUUCCCACCUGAGCGGCCGUCUUCACUGCAGCGCGUUUCUCAGAAGAGUGACCGUCACCUUCGCUAGAUGCACAGUCUCGUACACCACUCCCUUCUCACUAAAACCUUUUCUUCUGUUUCUCCUCCCGACUUGGGUCUGCUUUAUUCUCUGGGUUUUGCUGGUUUCUCCAGCUCACUCGUUGGUGUUGGAUUCCCCAGAGCAGUGUCUGUCUUUUCAGCAGCCGUGCAAGGAGAGUUCUGAACCCGGGUUUCUCUUCCUCAUGCUGCACACCUCCUGCGUGGGCAAUCUCAUCCCCACCAGGAAUCUAAUUGCUGCACACGCACUGAGCUCUUCCGCCUCACCUUCUCUGUCCCGGAUGCCACUCCUCACUCUAGAGAUGCGGUUUGUUUCCUACCUUCAAGUUCCAUCGUCAGCUCAAACUCAGAAUGUUUCAACCAAACAGCUGGACCCUGAGAACCUUCCUCACCGUCCUCUGAUAUGGAAAUCUUGCAAUUAUAUUUAACACUUCUUGACAAAUCACCCACCUCACCCGUACAAUCGAUCAUCAAGUUCAGUCCAUUCUACCCCUGAAACCACUUUCCAGUCCACCGUUUUCUUUCCAUGAGCACCUCCCCAUCUUCACCAUCACUCACCCGUCACUGAAUCACUUCUCUCCGGGUUUUCCUGCCCCCGAGAUCUCUUCCUUUGAUACUGACAUUGUAUAGCUGCUGGAAUUCUCCAUCACGUGAAUGUGAGUCGAUUCUAAUUUAAAACCGUUCUUACAGGAUAAAAUUCAAGUAAUUCAGCACGCCAUACCACCCCGGUACAAUCCACCUUCAACUCCAGUGUCCGGGCCAUUGCUGCUCAAACCCCCGGCAGAGGGGCCAGCUUUUCCUUCUUCUAAUCCAUUGUGGGCAAUACUUUUAUAAAGUCCAAUAAAAAUUAUUUAUUAGCACGAUUAUCACUUGCUGGGGAGUUGUAGGAAGGCUGAAUUGCUAUCAAAGUCUUUAAACAGUUAAUUACCUUUUCCCUAGCAUCACGGACUCUUCGUAGUUUGCAGGCCAGCCCUGGUCUGGGUUAGUGUCUUGCUUUUCUCCUUGAUAUUUUUGUGUAACAUUUGCAGUAAU
rnacentral:lncRNA from 1 species